GACGAACCGUGCGAACGUUGUUCGGAAUCACUGGGCUUAAAGGGCGCGUAGGCGGCAGACCAAGUCCGGGGUGAAAUCUUUCGGCUCAACCGGAAAAGUGCCUUGGAUACUGGUUUGCUCGAGGGAGGUAGGGGCAUGUGGAACUUCCGGUGGAGCGGUGAAAUGCGUAGAGAUUUGGAGGAACACCAGUGGCGAAGGCGACUUUCUGGUCUGUAACUGACACUGAGGCGCGAAAGCGUGGGGAGCGAACAGG
rnacentral:rRNA from 1 species